AACUCCGGCAGAUCGCCAACAACGUCGGUGACAACGUGAUGUUAACGCCUGCGCCAACUGAGCCACAGGAUCCCGAGGAUGAACUUGUUGUCGAGGUGUGGUCCCGCGCCGGAGCGCUUUUGCGCCGAACGCCGAACGCACCUUCGGUUCCGCGCCUGAAUUCGGCAGGUUUUGCGACCAUCGACGCAGGGGGAGUAUCUUGGCGUGUGUAUCAGGCGCGAGAUGCCGAUCGAACGGUGCAAAUCGCGCAACAGAUGGAGGUUCGUCGGGAAAUA
rnacentral:misc_RNA from 1 species